AUGGUUAGAAGAAAGAAAAAGCAGCAGCCUCCUAGUACAUGCAUGGCUGCUGAACCCUCGGUCCCGUCCGGCUUCGGCACCAGGCCAUGGCUAGUGCAGGCAACGGGAGGAGAGCGGCAGACGUUCGUCGACUCGUUGGACGGGAGCUUGCACUCCACGAUCGUUCCCGAGAUGCAAGGCAACCCUCAUACCUCAUAUCUGUUCCACCACUGUUUCCCAAUCCGGCGCUUCGGCAGUCUGCUCCCCCUCCUCCCAUUUCCCUCCCCUUUGCUGUGGUGGCAGCGAUGGACCGCUCCCGUGCAUCCUCAAGUGAGGCGAUCUCCGGGCAGAAGCGGGGCCGUGGUGGAUCUAGCGAUGUGGAUGCGGAUCUGGAGUACGAGGCGGCUCUCCGCGCGAAGCUUCAUGCCUCGAUCGCUCCGGAGGCGGGGUCGGCAGCGGCGUCCGUUGGUGUGUCUCCUCGUGCUUCCGGGUCGGGCCCGUCGGCGCCCCCUCUCCCUGCUUCUGGUGCUCCUUCGGCGGCGGCCGAUCCCUAGGAGGUGGCGGCGGCGGCCAGUCGGGAGGGUUCGUCGGGGCCCGCUCUGGCGCCCCCUCCGAUGGGUGCUACUCCCCGGGGCGGCGCUCCGGUGCGGGCUCAGGCUGGGGGCGGGCCGUCCCGCUUCUUCCCUAGAGGCGCGUCGGGGGCUCCGGCCCGGCGUCCCGUCGGCCCCGUGGCGGGGCGGGGCUUCGGCUCUGGGCCUGCUGCGGCUGGGGAUGAAAUCCUCCCUCCUCCUCCUCGUGGUCGCAUCCCUCCCCAAUCCCAAGUCUUCAACCCCAUCCUCACUUGCUUUGCGUGUCAUCGACCUGGCCACUUCCAAUUGCGGUGUGAAAACCCUCCCUUCUGCCUCAUCUGCCGGGAAGGCGGCCACCUUACGGUGGACUGUCAGAAUCGUGUCAAGCCUCCUUCGUUUGUUCAUUAUGGCAUCGGUCUUCCUGGAUGCUCUUUCUUCGCUCUUGAUAGGGAGAUCCCUGAGGCUGCCCCCAUUCCUUCCCUGUCCAAUGUUGGCAUUAUCUCCGUCCAGGAUAAACGCAUCUCUCCUUAGAUCCUUCUCGAUGGGCUUAAGUUAUGGGACGAGGGUGGAUGGGAUUGGCAGAUCCGCCAACUCUCCGAGUUCGAUAAAAGCGGCCUCUAAUGGAUCCAAGUCUAUCUCUUCCUUGUCUGAUGUGUGGGUGCUGGUAGAAGAUGUCCUUCCGAGCAUGCGUACCACGGCUUUCCUGAUGGCCUUUGGAGUUUUUAUUGGCAAACCCAUUGAUGUUGACCAAGAAUCUUUGGCGAUCCUGGGGCCGGCCCGGCUCUGGGUUUGGCUUGAGUCCCCGAAGAUCACUGCCCCAUGCCUUAUGAUCGGCUAUAGAGGGAAGAUCUACUCUUUCGGUUAUACGGAGCAUUACACGCUCGCCACCGACAACCUUGCCUCCGACACGCUCACCGUGAUAGGCGACGACGACGACCACGGCACGGUCCAAGCACGACUUGUCGGCACUCUCGUUGGCGCCAAAGAGAGCGUCGCCGUGUACCGUCUAGAUCUCGAGUCCCUUACCUGGACGAGGGUGGACAGCAUCGGCGGAGACCGCGCCUUCCUCAUCUCUGGUCUCUACGGCUUCUCCGUGCCCGUCCGUCCAGGGGCAGGGGGGUUGAUUCCGCAGGGCAACUGUGUGUACUUCGUGCUGUCGGGCUGCGACUGUGAGAGGUUAUACAAGUUCUGCUUGGACGACAACACCACCAGCUUCCAUCAGAUCCUUCCGCAACCUACCGAGCAGCCAUUCUGGACUGUUCAGGCAAACUCUUGGAAUACACGGCCGUGGCAUGAUCUGCCACUAGAAUUGCUGGAGCCGGUUGUCUCAAGGCUUUCUUUGGUGGAUCGUCUCCGAUUCCCGGCAGUGUGUAAGUCAUGGAGCCUUGUGACUAACCCGGUUGAGCAAGCCAUUGUGUGGCCUUGGCUCCUGCACAGCUCCGGCCGAGAUGGGGCGUGCAAGCUGUUCGACCCUCUGCGCAGCCAGGAGUACAACAUGCAUGUUGAAACAUUUGACAUCAACCAAGACGAACACGACGAGCAUAUUUUCCGAUUCUCCAAAGGCGGAUGGGUGGCCAUGUCGACCAACGCAGACAUCCAAGACAUGUACAUCAUAAACCCGUUCACUGAGGAGGUCGUGGAAAUGGUCAUGCUCGAUUGGGAGGACAACUACAUGGGCUUGUCGUGGUCCUCGAUGGACCCAAAAUCUCCGGACUGCAUUUUCUUCGCCGUGAAUAGCAGACAGGAUGGCAAAGCGGUCGGCGCCCUUACGUGGCGGCAUGGGGAGGCCGAGUGGUUUGAACGACAUCUCGAGUACUAUGAAGGGGAUCCAUUCCCAGUGGCAUACAACAACCCUGUCUUGUUCCACGACAACGACACAUGGACGAUCUUGGAGAAGUCUAACCCGAUUCAUGUGGAGAUGGACCUCGAAGGUGACCACCACGAGGGGAGAGAGUUUUGCUACCUGGUUGAGCUGCGAGGGGAGCUGGUCUCCGUGUUCAUGCGUAACGCCGACCAGCCACCGCGGGUGUUCAAGCUCAACGAGGAGGAGAUGGCCUGGAUGAAGGUGCAAGAGAUCGGCGGCGCGGCCUUGUUUCUUGAUUUCAGGGUGUCAUACUCCGUGGCAUCACCGGAAGCUGGGCAUGGCAAUAGGAUCUACUUCCCUAGUUAUUCGGAGGAUGGCAAACAAGCGGCGUUCUAUGAUAUGGAGACCAAGGCAUACCACCCAUCCUUCUAUGGUUUGAAGUCACCGUUGCAAUGUUAA
rnacentral:rRNA from 1 species